GGUAAAUUUCUCAAGAUUUUUCAAAUUAAUUCAUCAAAUUCAAACAUCCAAAUAGGCUCAGCAUUUAUAUUUCAAACUCGAUUCAUUUUCAGAGAGCUAAUUUUGCAUAAAAAAUAAUAUCUUUACACCGAUAUGGAGCUUUGUUACAUAGCAAAGGAUGGUAACUUCUCCCCAUUGACACCAAACAAAUUUUUUACCCUUACCUUCAUAGCCCCGCUAAGCUUUAGCACACUUCGAGCGAUCCCAAACAGCUCAUCGUCCUCCAUCUUCUUCUGAGACGAAACCAAUACCACCUUUGUACCACUCAACUCAUCAUAUAUCCUCUGAAACUCCAUUAACACCUCAAUCACCAUUAUUACCUUAUUUCUCUCUAUUAACAUCUUCAACAGUCUCACCAAAAGCCUAUUCAUUUUCCCUUUCUUUGCCAAUUCAUUCACCAAUUGUCCUUUAUUUUUCUCACCCACAAGCGGAUUGGCCAAAACAGCCUGUGCUUGCUCACUUUGGAGCAGCUUCAACAAUCUUUCGACAUCCCUUUGUACGGUUUCAAGGGAAUUGUUGCAUUGGGCUACGUCUAGAAGUGCUGCAGCAUAGCCGCUUGCUGGGUUUAGGUGGAUAUUGGGAGAUGACUUGAGAGAUGAACUUUGAGAAGUGCAGGAUUGUGGAGAAUUAAGAGUCUUGAGAUAAAAGGACUGGACGGUAGUUUUGUUGGAGAUGGAGUUGUGUUUGGUAGUGAGAUGAGGGGGAAGUUGAUGAGACGUUGAGAGAGUUUUGAAGUGAUAAAAUUCACGAGGUGCUGAGUAAAGGGCAGGAACUUUGAGGGUUGAAACAGAGCUGGAGAGGGUAUCCAUGGAGACUGGGGAGAAGUGUCGCAAUAGGAGGUUGCAGUUCUGUAUUUUAUGGAAGAGAUGUGGGAAUAUUUUACCCACGUCU
rnacentral:misc_RNA from 1 species